UACGAACCGUCCAAACGUUACUCGGAAUCACUGGGCUUAAAGGGUGCGUAGGCGGCGCGGUAAGUCGGGUGUGAAAUCUCGGGGCUUAACUCCGAAACUGCAUUCGAUACUGCCGUGCUUGAGGACUGGAGAGGAGACUGGAAUUUACGGUGUAGCGGUGAAAUGCGUAGAUAUCGUAAGGAAGACCAGUGGCGAAGGCGGGUCUCUGGACAGUUCCUGACGCUGAGGCACGAAGGCCAGGGGAGCAAACGGG
rnacentral:rRNA from 1 species